GUAUCGUGCCGCCCGUUUUGCCCGCGGGGAAGCCGAGGCCCGGCGCCGUAUCCUGUGGCCGUUUUACCCGCGGGAAAGUCGAGGCCCGGCGCCGUAUCCUGCCGCCCGUUUUACCCGCGAGGAAGCCGAGGCCCGGCGCCGUAUCCUGCCGCCCGUUUUACCCGCGGAGACGCCGAGGCCCGAUGCCGUAUCCUGCCGCCCGUUUUACCCGCGGGAAAGCCGAGGCCCGGUGCUGUAUUCUGCCGCCCAUUUUACCCGCGGGGAAGCUGAGGCCCAGUGCUGUUUAAUAUCUUACUCAUGUUCACUUGAUGAGAAAGUGACAGAUCUGAGACAAACCCAGAUCGACAGAAAAGAAAUGAGUCAACGAUGGUGCAGAAAGGGACCAGCUUGACGAAGCUUCUGCUUUUGUGACUGUCUCCUAAUGAAACCAGAGCACCUCAGAAGAUCAAGGCUUCCAAAUUCUCCUGGGGGAACAGACGUCAGCCAUUCAGCACAAAGGAAACUUCCUUCUCUGUAUGUCAGAGGAAGACAUAAUUGUGCCAUUUCCUUCUUGAAGAAGUUUACAAACAUUUGCAAGUUGUCAAAAAUAAUUAGUCUAAAAUUGUUUCAUAAACCGUGGAAUGAAACAGGACGUGCCUUGUUGAGAUCAAAGGGCUUCUGUUACCUUCUUGUAAACUCAAAUGAAAUUCUUUUGAAAGUAAA
rnacentral:lncRNA from 1 species